rnacentral:rRNA from 1 species
UAAGCGACUAAGCGUACACGGUGGAUGCCCUGGCAGUCAGAGGCGAUGAAGGACGUGCUAAUCUGCGAUAAGCGUCGGUAAGGUGAUAUGAACCGUUAUAACCGGCGAUUUCCGAAUGGGGAAACCCAGUGUGAUUCGUCACACUAUCAUUAACUGAAUCCAUAGGUUAAUGAGGCGGAACCGGGGGAACUGAAACAUCUAAGUACCCCGAGGAAAAGAAAUCAACCGAGAUUCCCCCAGUAGCGGCGAGCGAACGGGGAGCAGCCCAGAGCCUGAAUCAGUGUGUGUGUUAGUGGAAGCGUCUGGAAAGGCGCGCGAUACAGGGUGACAGCCCCGUACACAAAAAUGCACAUGCUGUGAGCUCGAUGAGUAGGGCGGGACACGUGGUAUCCUGUCUGAAUAUGGGGGGACCAUCCUCCAAGGCUAAAUACUCCUGACUGACCGAUAGUGAACCAGUACCGUGAGGGAAAGGCGAAAAGAACCCCGGCGAGGGGAGUGAAAAAGAACCUGAAACCGUGUACGUACAAGCAGUGGGAGCACAGAGCAAUCUGUGUGACUGCGUACCUUUGUAUAAUGGGUCAGCGACUUAUAUUCUGUAGCAAGGUUAACCGAAUAGGGGAGCCGAAGGGAAACCGAGUCUUAACUGGGCGUUAAGUUGCAGGGUAUAGACCCGAAACCCGGUGAUCUAGCCAUGGGCAGGUUGAAGGUUGGGUAACACUAACUGGAGGACCGAACCGACUAAUGUUAGAAAAAUUAGCGGAUGACUUGUGGCUGGGGGUGAAAGGCCAAUCAAACCGGGAGAUAGCUGGUUCUCCCCGAAAGCUAUUUAGGUAGCGCCUCGUGAAUUCAUCUCCGGGGGUAGAGCACUGUUUUGGCAAGGGGGUCAUCCCGACUUACCAACCCGAUGCAAACUGCGAAUACCGGAGAAUGUCAUCACGGGAGACACACGGCGGGUGCUAACGUCCGUCGUGAAGAGGGAAACAACCCAGACCGCCAGCUAAGGUCCCAAAGUCAUGGUUAAGUGGGAAACGAUGUGGGAAGGCCCAGACAGCCAGGAUGUUGGCUUAGAAGCAGCCAUCAUUUAAAGAAAGCGUAAUAGCUCACUGGUCGAGUCGGCCUGCGCGGAAGAUGUAACGGGGCUAAACCAUGCACCGAAGCUGCGGCAGCGACGCUGAUGCGUUGUUGGGUAGGGGAGCGUUCUGUAAGCCUGUGAAGGUGUGCUGUGAGGCAUGCUGGAGGUAUCAGAAGUGCGAAUGCUGACAUAAGUAACGAUAAAGCGGGUGAAAAGCCCGCUCGCCGGAAGACCAAGGGUUCCUGUCCAACGUUAAUCGGGGCAGGGUGAGUCGACCCCUAAGGCGAGGCCGAAAGGCGUAGUCGAUGGGAAACAGGUUAAUAUUCCUGUACUUGGUGUUACUGCGAAGGGGGGACGGAGAAGGCUAUGUUGGCCGGGCGACGGUUGUCCCGGUUUAAGCGUGUAGGCUGGUUUUCCAGGCAAAUCCGGAAAACUAAGGCUGAGGCGUGAUGACGAGGCACUACGGUGCUGAAGCAACAAAUGCCCUGCUUCCAGGAAAAGCCUCUAAGCAUCAGGUAACAUCAAAUCGUACCCCAAACCGACACAGGUGGUCAGGUAGAGAAUACCAAGGCGCUUGAGAGAACUCGGGUGAAGGAACUAGGCAAAAUGGUGCCGUAACUUCGGGAGAAGGCACGCUGAUAUGUAGGUGAAGUCCCUCGCGGAUGGAGCUGAAAUCAGUCGAAGAUACCAGCUGGCUGCAACUGUUUAUUAAAAACACAGCACUGUGCAAACACGAAAGUGGACGUAUACGGUGUGACGCCUGCCCGGUGCCGGAAGGUUAAUUGAUGGGGUCAGCGCAAGCGAAGCUCUUGAUCGAAGCCCCGGUAAACGGCGGCCGUAACUAUAACGGUCCUAAGGUAGCGAAAUUCCUUGUCGGGUAAGUUCCGACCUGCACGAAUGGCGUAAUGAUGGCCAGGCUGUCUCCACCCGAGACUCAGUGAAAUUGAACUCGCUGUGAAGAUGCAGUGUACCCGCGGCAAGACGGAAAGACCCCGUGAACCUUUACUAUAGCUUGACACUGAACAUUGAGCCUUGAUGUGUAGGAUAGGUGGGAGGCUUUGAAGUGUGGACGCCAGUCUGCAUGGAGCCGACCUUGAAAUACCACCCUUUAAUGUUUGAUGUUCUAACGUUGACCCGUGAUCCGGGUUGCGGACAGUGUCUGGUGGGUAGUUUGACUGGGGCGGUCUCCUCCUAAAGAGUAACGGAGGAGCACGAAGGUUGGCUAAUCCUGGUCGGACAUCAGGAGGUUAGUGCAAUGGCAUAAGCCAGCUUGACUGCGAGCGUGACGGCGCGAGCAGGUGCGAAAGCAGGUCAUAGUGAUCCGGUGGUUCUGAAUGGAAGGGCCAUCGCUCAACGGAUAAAAGGUACUCCGGGGAUAACAGGCUGAUACCGCCCAAGAGUUCAUAUCGACGGCGGUGUUUGGCACCUCGAUGUCGGCUCAUCACAUCCUGGGGCUGAAGUAGGUCCCAAGGGUAUGGCUGUUCGCCAUUUAAAGUGGUACGCGAGCUGGGUUUAGAACGUCGUGAGACAGUUCGGUCCCUAUCUGCCGUGGGCGCUGGAGAACUGAGGGGGGCUGCUCCUAGUACGAGAGGACCGGAGUGGACGCAUCACUGGUGUUCGGGUUGUCAUGCCAAUGGCACUGCCCGGUAGCUAAAUGCGGAAGAGAUAAGUGCUGAAAGCAUCUAAGCACGAAACUUGCCCCGAGAUGAGUUCUCCCUGACUCCUUGAGAGUCCUGAAGGAACGUUGAAGACGACGACGUUGAUAGGCCGGGUGUGUAAGCGCAGCGAUGCGUUGAGCUAACCGGUACUAAUGAACCGUGAGGCUUAACCU